GCUCCCGUAGUGUAGUCCGGUUAAUCAUUCCAGCCUUUCGAGCUGGAUACCCGGGUUCAAAUCCCGGCGGGAGCA
rnacentral:tRNA from 1 species